rnacentral:misc_RNA from 1 species
AACGCACCUUGCACUCCUUGGUAUUCCGAGGAGUAUGCCUGUUUGAGUGUCUUGUAAUCAUCAAUCUUACAUUGCUUUUGUGAUGUCUGAUUGGAUUUGGAGACUGCUGGCUUAAUCGCUGGCUUCUCUUGAAUGCAUUAGUUGAAUCGACUUGCAACGCUACGUGUGGUGUGAUAAUAUCUUCACUGCAUAGUUGUAAUGAAGUUUGGCUUCUAACAGUCCUUCGUUGGACAAUACUCGACCAUUUGACCUCAAAUCAGGUAGGACUACCCGCUGAACUUAA